ensembl:lncRNA
GUGAAAAGGGUUUUCAGGUGGAAAAGACUGGUCCAGGUAUAAGGGUCUGAAUGCCUUAUCUUUACCCAAAGCCCCUUUUUACAAGAUCCCCUGGGCAUUUCUAAGGACCUCUACCUGUCCCCAUGGUGUGGCCUUGAGUCCUCUGACCUCCAAGACCCAUGUCUGUGUCCCCUUCACCUCCCUGCUGUUGUGUCUCUUGGUUUUCCUCAUGACUGUUUCAGAGAAGAGGGGUCAGCUAAUCAUCCAUGCAGUGCAUGAUCCGGCUCAAGGGCUACAAUGAACUUCACAGACCUGUGAGUCAAAUACCUUUUCUACAAAUAAAACAAUCCUGAAGGCAGAGGUGGAUGUUGCAGUGAUUUUCAACUUGAUUUGAAAUCUUUUUCUACUUUGACUCGUUGGAAGACUAUGCUAUUGAUCAGGACAAUUCAGAAAAAAUAUCUCGGUAAACAAAAAUGAGAUUGAAAUUUUCAUUUCCUCUUUCCUGUCAUAAGGUAACUAUUUUUCAGUUAACGUAAUAUGGUGAUUCAUUUCCCCCAUUUGAAACUCUAAGAAUUGGCUCAGGUUUGACAUUCCUGUUACAACUUCCUAAGUGCUACUCUUGAAUAAACAAGGAAAAUGUGCAACUUUGCUUUUAUAUUACACAA